rnacentral:tRNA from 1 species
GCCUGGGUGGCUUAGUGGGUUAAGCGUCUGGCUUUGGCUCAGGGCAUGAUCUUAAAGUUUCUGGGUUCGAGCCCCACGUCGGGCU